CGUGGCUUUAGAUAGCCUCCAUCUAAUUGUAGGCAGAGAGAUGGACAAGGUCCCCCCCGCCCCCAGGGUCCUUUCAACCUUCCAGCCCAUUUGAGCUGAAGGAGAUGAGAAAUAAUUCAAAGAGAAACAAGAAUCCACGAACCGACUUUGCAGACUUGAAUUCUCUUCCCCACGCUUGCUGUCACCUCCGUGUGCCUCCCCCUGACCACCGUACCGUCAUCCGGAGCUGCGGGUUUAGGAUUCUGGAGGCUUCCUGAGAAUAGCAAAUUACGAAUAAGCAGGGUGUGUGUUUGAUGGAAUACCAUUUUCCAAACCGAAUAUAAGAGUAGGUAACCAUUUUGAAGAGAAAGGUUCUGGAGCCUUCAAAGGAUUUUCCCUAGGGAUCAGACAGACGGCUGCUUUUUACUCCUAGCUGCUUCCCAGGGAUGACUUCUGCUCUUAGGUAGCGUUUACCGAUCAUUUCCUACGUACUCAGCACUGUGCUUGGAGCUGGGGGCUCACCUCAGUCUUCACAAAACCCCCUUUCACGGGAAUCCUUACUCCCAUUUUGUAGAUGCAGAAACAGAUUUAGAGAAGUUAAAGGAUGGCCUGACUCCCCAGGGCUCUGCCUCACUUCUGCCUCCUCCGUCUAUUCUGAGCUGCAGUUGGGACGCCCCCUUGGUUCUUAGCAAUCAAAUAUGUUAAGGGAAGGAACACUGAUUUUAAUGAACCAACCCACAAGCGUUGCGUAAUUUGAAAGUUGUGGCCCCUGAAUGAGCGCUUCCAGGGAGAAGCUACUAGAAGCCCUGGCUAAUCAGACACCUGCCUGCCUGCAUUCCAGCUAAUGAUCACAAACCAAAGGCAGAGGGAGCACAGGUUUUAAGAUUGAUGAAAACGGGGACGACGCGGCAUCAUACUGGUACAACGGACUUUUUAUUGUAGUUGUUGUUUAAGUGCAAAGGAAGGCUGGUGGUACCUGAUAAAUAGAAAAGGCAAGAGUCUACUACGGACCAGGAGCGGAAAACCACGGACGCUUCUGAGAGUAAUUAAUCCCCACUGCACAGUCUCCUGUGCAGAGUUUGGAGGAAAAACUCUUCAGCAGAGUUUGGAGGAAAAGCCUUCAUUUGGAGCAAAUAGGGACCAAGGAGGCCUCACACAUAAAUGGCGCACCUGGAUCCCUGACAGACUUCAGGGAAUUUUGGAAUAAGCAUCUGAAACAAAGGUGAGUUGCAUUAAGCUAUUGAGAUUUGGGGCGUGUUUGUCACAGCAGCACAACCUAU
rnacentral:lncRNA from 1 species